rnacentral:rRNA from 1 species
UACGGGGGGGGCAAGCGUUGUUCGGAAUUACUGGGCGUAAAGGGCGCGUAGGCGGCCUGCUAAGUCGGAUGUGAAAUCCCUCGGCUCAACCGAGGAACUGCAUCCGAUACUGGCGGGCUUGAAUCCGGGAGAGGGAUGUGGAAUUCCAGGUGUAGCGGUGAAAUGCGCAGAUAUCAGGAGGAACACCAGUGGCGAAGGCGGCACUCUGGGCCGGUACUGACGCUGAGGAGCGAAAGUGUGGGGAGCGAACAGG